rnacentral:rRNA from 1 species
GUCUAAGUUUAAGCAAUCUAUACGGCGAAACUGCGAAUGGCUCAUUAAAUCAGUUAUCGUUUAUUUGAUAGUCACCUUACUACGUGGAUACCUGUGGUAAUUCUAGAGCUAAUACAUGCCAAAAACCUCGACUUACGAAGGGGUGUAUUUAUUAGAUAGCAAGCCGACGCCCUUCGGGGCCUCCUGGUGAUUCAUGAUAACUAAACGUAGCGCAUGGCCUUGAGCCGGCGCAGGAUCAUUCAAAUACCUGCCCUAUCAAGUUUCGAUGUGAGGGUAGUGUCCUCACAUGCUUUUGACGGGUAACGGGGAAUUAGGGUUCGACUCCGGAGAGGGAGCCUGAGAAACGGCUACCACAUCCAAGGAAGGCAGCAGGCGCGCAAAUUACCCAAUCCCGACACGGGGAGGUAGUGACAAGAAAUACCGAUACAGGAUCCUUCUGGAUCUUGUAAUUGGAAUGAGUACAAUUAAACCCAUUAACGAGUAGCGUAUAUUAAAGUUGUUGCAGUUAAAACGCUCGUAGUUGAACCUUGGGCCUGGCUGGCCGGUCCGCCUCACCGCGUGCACUGGUGCGGCCGGGCCUUUCCUCCUGGGGAGCCGCAUGCCCUUGACUGGGCGUGUCGGGGAACCAGGAACUUUUACUUUGAAAAAAUUAGAGUGUUCAAAGCAGGCCUCUGCCCGGAUACAUUAGCAUGGAAUAAUGGAAUAGGACGUGCGUUCCUAUUUUGUUGGUUUCUAGGAACGCCGUAAUGAUUAAUAGGGAUAGUUGGGGGCAUCAGUAUUCAAUUGUCAGAGGUGAAAUUCUUGGAUUUAUUGAAGACUAACUGCUGCGAAAGCGUUUGCCAAAGAUGUUUUCAUUAAUCAGGGAACGAAAGUUAGGGGAUCGAAGACGAUCAGAUACCGUCGUAGUCUUAACCGUAAACCAUGCCGACUAGGGAUCGGGUGGUGUUUUCUUCAUGACUCACUCGGCACCUUACGAGAAAUCAUUAAGUGUUCGGGUUCU